CAGUAGUUAACGGAAACAUCUUCCCAGCAAUCUCCUUGCUAAGCAAAAGUUUUUGGCAAAUUGCCGCUGCAGCUACUUCCUCUGUUUACUGUUAACUGCAACAGUGAGAGCUCAGAAAUUCCCAGACUGUUUUGAUGAUAAGGUCCAAGAACUUGCCAUGUGAUCCAUCACUACUAGACUCCCACAACUGCAUUAGAUUUGUUCAGGAUUUUCAUAUAAUUUUCAUAACUGGCUAAGUUCUGAAAUAACCCAUCUUGAAGACAUAAACAAUGUGCAUUGAUGGCUAGCCAGACUCUGUCCUGCCACAGUUCUCCUCCUACUCUUCAUUUCUUACCCCAAGGAGUAGUAAACAUGAAUCCUGACCCACCAAUGCAGUCCCAGAACUGAGAAAAGAUUCACUGCAGCUAAACACAUUGGAAAUGGAUGGGGAGAAGGCCUGAUGAAAAUUACUGAGGAAGCCUCUUAGCCUAUGUGCUCUGAGAGUAGUGACACCUAGCAGUCGUUCAAAAGAUGAUCAAGAGGAGCAUGAAAAAAUCCCCUGAAUCCAUUGGCUUUCUUCCCUAUACUGACAACAGUUUACUUGUGUAAGAGAUGCAUGCCUCGACUCCGGACCCCUUCUUUCAUCUGCAAAAUCAGCAGCACCCUCACAUCAUCUCCUGUAACAAACUCUCUCUGUCUCCUCCAUAUAAGGUCACUGAUGGUUACAUUUAGGGUCCAUGAUAUAAGGCCCUCUCCAGGGUGCCUGAGUUUGUUGUUUCAUCACAGAAUUACACGGAAGAGACUGGAAAGAUAACUCUUCAAAUGUCAAAUCAUUCCCCUAUAAAAAAUUUUGCCACAGCUGUUGAAAUAUGGCCUUAGGGUUUAUGACAGAAUUUGAACCAGCCCCAUGGAAAAUGCAUCUUGACUCUGCUUUUAUUCCUUUCCCUGCUGAGCUCCUAAUAGAAGAUGGAUGUCUAUUGCUUUUCUCUUGAUAUUCAUGGCACUGCUCCUCUCCAUCCAUAGGAUUAUCUUAUAGAUGAGGGUCUCAUCCUUUUGCCCAGGCUGGAGUACAG
rnacentral:lncRNA from 1 species